rnacentral:sRNA from 1 species
CCUAGCACUGCGUACUAGGCUAGUUUAUGUCGUGCUUUCAGCACU